UGCUGUCCGCGGUCAUUUCUGUGUCUCCAUAGCUGCUUGUGCUAACUGUUAAUGUUUAAUAUAAUUAUCAGUAGGAGGAGAGUGAAGCUGUAAAGUAACAAUAUAAAACGGAAUUUUUUUAAACCAAGUUAUUAGUAAUCAACCUAUUUUCUCUGCUCAACUGUAAAGCUCAGCUACUGUCUUCAAAGAUAAAGCUUAUCUAUUUGUUUAGCAUUAACAUACAGAUAUACACACAUACAUAAAGAAUGGCAGUGCUGGUGGUGCAGGAGUGGAGUAGGCACUGAGGCAGAGCAGCAUUGACGUCACCAGCCUGUGGUUAUCAGUGGAGGUUAAUCUACUAGGGAUGGAUGGGCUUAUGCAAUUGUCUGUGAGCCCACAGGCUUCGCAUGUAUGGAUUUGCUUUUCCACUGUUUGACCCAGUGUUCUGCUGCAGCCUGCAGACAAACAGAGAUGAUAGAGUGGGAAUUUCUCCUCUCUCUGGAAUUUCUAGUAGAUGUCUCUCUCUCUUCUCUGCCAGGUGCAGUGUGCUUCAGGCUGUAUGAAUGGGUUUGAACGCAGUUUAUUGUUUAGGUGCGGUGAUCAGUUAAAAAUUAUCCCGCCGCAUGAUGGGGAGGACAUUACCUCCUGAUCGAUACCUUGGUGGAAAUUGAUGAAGACGCUGAGAAAUAACUUGUUUUAGUGUUAAAAACCCAGUGUCCUGUUGAAUCUAGAGGGGGGUGUAAAUGGACCUGAGAAUACAAAGCCCAGUUUCCCUCGGGGCCUGGAAACCAGGAUGUCCCCUCUACCCUGAGGCGGCUGCUUCUAUAUGCUAAUGACCUUUGACCCCCAUUUUUGCCUUGAGACUUGCAAAUCUGCCUGCACAAAGAUUGGAAGAAGUCUGGAAAGGCAAACAAAGAGGUCUUACACGGAGAGUGAUGCAACUGGACAGCUGGAGCCCAGUCAGAGAUAAAGAACUUUUAUUACCAUGUAGACAUUAAAAAACAAAACAAAACAGAAAAACACAAACAAAACUGUAACCUUGGUGGUGGGAAGCCUUUUACACAGAGGGAAGAAGUGUUCGACUAUGUCCCAAAACACAAAUUUAGUCAGGAUUUUUCAAAGAACAGCCUCUUCCGUCAUGCCAUGGUGUUUGGCUUAGGUAUGAUCUGAUGAAAUGCGUUCCACUCUGACCUUUGAACAAACUGCACUCCCCAACAUGUGCUUAAAAAAAAAAAAUCUGAAAAUCCUCUGUCUACCUCCAAAGCUCUUGCUAAACUCGGCUCUUCUCAGAGCCACUCGGUUUCUCAACACUUUCAUCAAAAUGAGCUUCCUCCAUCUCCUAGUUUCAGUGAAUCCGUCUCCCUGGAAAGGUUUGAGCCGGAACUGUCCACGCCCCGCUCACUCCUCCAUGAGCCACCCGGGAUCAUCAUUUAAUUCCUUGUGUACAUGUUCUGUUUUGUUUUGAUUUAAUUCAUGGAAAGAAAAAAAAAACCCUUUAAUCAAACUACUUGCAGUUAUUAACUCGAAAAUGAUCUUUCCCUCAGUAGGAUCCCUCACUGGGCAAAACUAUUUCAUCCACAGCAUUUCAUAUAGUUUUAAUUAACACAAGAUGCGGUGUCUUUCUCUGUCAUUAGCGAGGAAUAAAUUAAACUCAUUAAAUCUCGAGCUUAAUGAAAAUGCUCGAGACAGAUUUGGGAUGCGCUGAAUGAUGUAUGAAGCUGUGCAGCAGCUACUUUUUGUUCUUUUUGAAUCCGGGACUUUCAAUUAGCAGCAGGCCACCGCAGACUGCUGUUUGAUGAGUUGAAUUAUAAGAAGUAAAUAUCACUGUUGCCAAAAAACGUUGUUUAUAGACGUGUUUACGAGCGUGUUUCUGUUUUAAUUGCUCUUAAAAACUGCUUGGCUUUGGAUAUUUUGAAUGUGAGCAGAAGCCUCUUGUUAGCACAGAGCUGUGAUUACCUCAGUCUGCGGAGGAAGACUAAUGAUCCUGAGAUAUUCAAGGUUUCCACUAAACUGCACUUAAAAUAUUGGCAUUUUAAAACUGACCUGUAUGUGGAAAUACCACCAGCAGCCUGAACCACUGAUAAAGGCAGGAUGGAUCCAUGCUUUCAUGUUGUUUACACUAAAUUCUGACCCCAGUCAUCCAACCACCCAAUAUUUUUCCAGUCUUCAACUGUCCAAUGUUUUAGAGCCCAUUUGAAUUGUAUCCUCAGUUUCCUGUUCUUAGCUGACAGGAGCGACACACGCUGUGGUCCAUCUGGUCCCACGUGCUGUGUGUUCAGAGAUGGUCUGGUAGUAAAGAGUGGUUACAACCUGAGUUACUCUUGCUUUCCUGUCAGUUCAGUCUUGUUCCCUCUCCUCUGACCAUCAAUACAGCAUUUUUGCCCAUAGAAAUGCUGCUCAGUAGAUAUUUUACUUUUUUGGACAAUUCUCUGUAAACCCCAGAGAUGGUCAUGUGGGGAAGACCCAGUAGAUCAGCAGUUACUGAAAUACUCAGACCAGACAGGCUGGUCUGAGUAUUGUAGUCAUGGAACAACAAUGCUGCAGUCAAAGUCACUUAAAUAGCCUUUCUCCCUCAUUUUGAUGCUCAGUUUGAACUCCAGCAGCAGCAUGUCUACAUACCUAAAUGCAGUGGGUUUUGGCCACGUGAUUGGAUGGUUAAAAUAUUUGUGUUAGCAUCCAGUUGAAUACCUAAUGGGAACGACUGUUUUGCUAAAACGAUGAUGAGUUGGUUUUUGCUGAGGGCACUUGUUCAGGUAACACCAAUUCUUAGAAUAUUCAAGUCCCCCUGUAUAUAUAUUUAAAACAUCCUAGUUGUUCACAUAGAUCAGCAGCGCAUCGUCUCGUCACGUGAAAAUAUGUGAGCUUUAAAGCCAAGUCUGCAGUGACCAACUCAGCCACAGACUCAAAAGGCGACACUAACAUCUGCUAAGGAGCACUGCUUGUGGUAGGCGAGGAACUGGCACAAAUCUCUUUAGUGAUGACAACUUUGAUUUAGUGUGUUCAGAUAGGAAAUGGUGUCAGUUGGUUUGAGUUGGGGUGACCUCUUACACAGCUACAUGACAAGGUGUUUAUUACAAGCUCCUUCACCCACGCACGCUUCCUUUUCUGCCAUCAGUUUGAAGUAAUCCAACAAAUUUGUCCACUGCUACCUGAGUAAAACAAUUCAUUAAAGCUGUCGACGCUGGGAUAAUGAAAUAACUAGUCCAAAGUUCUGAUCCAUACCUAAUUGGGAAUCUCUGGAAGAUCAGUGACUCUAUUCUGUUGAAGAGAACAAAAUCAAACCAGGGAAAUGUGAGACAUUGGUAAGGUCCCAAAAGCACAGAUGUGCUAAAAUCAUUCCAAGAAAAUGGUCUCUAUACUUCCUAGCAGUUGAAAGUUGUAACCAUUAAUAUUUCAGUUUCCAAGCUGCUUUUUUCCUGCUAAAAUUGUACUUUCUGGAAUGAAUCAUUCAAAUGUUGAGUGCUAUAGCCACAACUGGGCCUAGUAGUCCCCUAAUGUUUGAGCUAUGAAAGUCACCAAUGAGCAAAAAAAAAAUAAAUCAAGUAAAUAUGAAUAAUUCUCUAACUUUGAUCUCUCCUCUAUUAUCUCAUAUUAGAAUUGAAAUAUGCAGGGUGGCAGCUGUAAGCUGAAGUUCUGACCUGUAAUCAGUAAUCAAAAAAAAUACCGAGCUUUGAUGCAGCACAAAUGAGGACAAAAUGAAGAUGACAGACAAGAUGAGACUCCAUUUGGUUGACGGUUUAUUUCAUGGUGGUAGGAACACAAGACAAAGGUCAUAAAGUUAGUAAUGUUCAGGUCAUGCCACUCUUAUCGGUGCACUGCCCUUUGACGAGGUUUGCGCAGUCAGACAGUAGUUUACAGAGGCCAGACAUGGAGGGUAAUCCACAUGUAGACAUAAAUAAGGAACAGAAAAUAGAUUCAAAAAUCAGUAAAUAGAAGAUUUUUUUUGUAAAAAGCCAGAUGGGAUAUUUGCGUAAGCCCUCUGGGAUAUUUUUUUCAUAUGAGUAUGAGCAUUAUUACUAAUAUAGUCAUUAUUAUUAUUAUUAUUUUGUAUUACUCAUUUACAUUAUCAGAAUGAGGCUAAUACACUGGCUAAAGUAACAGAACAGUUACAUGGAUAACGUCUUCGUCACCUGCUCGCAGUUCAAGAUGACUGGUUUUUAAGGCAAUUCAUAGUUUCCAUCCAAACCAUACAUGGACUGCAAUUGUCUUUUUUUUUGUUUUUGUUCUCGAGUCCAAGUGGUUCCACCUGAAGUGGUCAAACUCCAAGAAGAGUGUAAUAAAAUAAGACCAGUUUAAGCUUUGAGAGAGUGACUGCUGGAAUUUUAAAAGCAUCUUGGGACACUAGAAGAGGGAUUUCUGCCCUGGUGCGGACGCCCAAAGAAACAAGCGCACACAAUCAGCUUCAGGGCUAUUCCUCCCCCAUUUACAGAAGUAUAGAGCAUCGUGUGGGUGAA